rnacentral:rRNA from 1 species
AACGAACGCUGGCGGCAUGCCUAACACAUGCAAGUCGAACGAGACCUUCGGGUCUAGUGGCGCACGGGUGCGUAACGCGUGGGAACCUGCCCUUAGGUUCGGAAUAACUCCCCGAAAGGGGUGCUAAUACCGGAUAAUGUCUUCGGACCAAAGAUUUAUCGCCCUUGGAUGGGCCCGCGUUGGAUUAGCUAGUUGGUAGGGUAAAAGCCUACCAAGGCGACGAUUCAUAGCUGGUCAGAGAGGAUGAUCAGCCACACUGGGACUGAGACACGGCCCAGACUCCUACGGGAGGCAGCAGUGGGGAAUAUUGGACAAUGGGCGAAGGCAUGAUCCAGCAAUGCCGCGUGAGUGAUGAAGGCCUUAAGGUUGUAAAGCUCUUUUACCCGGGAUGAUAAUGACAGUACCGGGAGAAUAAGCUCCGGCUAACUCCGUG